AUUGAACGCUGGCGGCAGGCUUAACACAUGCAAGUCGAGCGGGGUGAUGGUGCUUGCACUAUCACUUAGCGGCGGACGGGUGAGUAAUGCUUAGGAAUCUGCCUAUUAGUGGGGGACAACAUCUCGAAAGGGAUGCUAAUACCGCAUACGUCCUACGGGAGAAAGCAGGGGAUCACUUGUGACCUUGUGCUAAUAGAUGAGCCUAAGUCGGAUUAGCUAGUUGGUGGGGUAAAGGCCUACCAAGGCGACGAUCUGUAGCGGGUCGGAGAGGAUGCGCCUGCGCACUGGGACAGAGACACGGCCCAGACUCCUACGGGAGGCAGCAGUGGGGAAUAUUGGACAAUGGGGGGAACCCUGAUCCAGCCAUGCCGCGUGUGUGAAGAAGGCCUUAUGGUUGUAAAGCACUUUAAGCGAGGAGGAGGCUCUUUUGGUUAAUACCCAAGAUGAGUGGACGUUACUCGCAGAAUAAGCACCGGCUAACUCUGUGCCAGCCGCCGCAGUAA
rnacentral:rRNA from 1 species